UACGGGGGGAGCAAGCGUUGUUCGGAUUUACUGGGCGUAAAGGGCGCGUAGGCGGCCAGCACAAGUCAGUUGUGAAAUCUCCGAGCUUAACUCGGAAAGGUCAACUGAUACUGUGCGGCUAGAGUGCGGAAGGGGCAACUGGAAUUCUUGGUGUAGCGGUGAAAUGCGUAGAUAUCAAGAGGAACACCGGCGGCGAAGGCGGCACUCUGGGCCGGUACUGACGCUGAGGAGCGAAAGCGUGGGUAGCAAACAGG
rnacentral:rRNA from 1 species